rnacentral:sRNA from 1 species
AGCGAGCGCCGGCGCCUCCAGCAUGGAGUGGGAACUCAACUUGCUGCUCUACCUGGCGCUCUUCUUCUUCCUGCUCUUCUUACUUUUCCUCCUGCUCUUCGUGGUCAUCAAGCAGCUGAAGAACUCCGUGGCCAACACGGCCGGGGCGCUCCAGCCCGGGCGCCUCUCGGUGCACCGCGAGCCUUGGGGCUUCUCCCGAGAGCAAGCGGUGUGACCCGAGUGCGGGCACUGGCGGGAGGGCACCGAGCUGCGCGGGCGCUGGGCUGGGUCUCCGCCUCGAUUCUCCGUCCUCGCGGCCUCCCAGCUUCCAGAGCCGAGCUGCUGCCCUUGACUGGUGCUCAGGGGACCACAGCUGCAAUGACAGUUUGGGCCUGCAAAAAGAAGGCUGGAACAACGGGAGAUGGAAGCUUUCUGCAAAUGCAGCACCACUGGUAUCCAUGAAUUUAACCUGCCCAUCAUUCUUCCUAGACAAGAGACUAUUGAAAAGUCAGGGUGUUCAAAAUGGCUUCAGAUCUUGUCAGGACAAUCUUGGUUGUUGCACUAAUUUCCAAACUUGUAAGUGCAAUGGAUCUGCAGUUCUACUUGGCAAGAUAACCAUUUUAAGUUGAAUGAGAAUGACAUCACACUCACACCUGCAAAAUCUAAAAUGUCUAAUAAAGUAGAUUCCUAUGUCUGAACUUCAAUUUUAGGGCACAGCUGUAGAUGCAGAACUGAUGCCAUCUGGUGCGAUUCUACAGAAUAAGAGAGAAAAUUUACCCAGAGUGUGCCAUGCACUGGCUUUUCUGGGAAUGGCAAGGUGCCAGGAUUUGUUUUUGGUUCGCUUGCAGGGGUGGAAACUUGGAACUAGGUUCCAAGAUGGUCCCCGCAGUACCCCACAAGAAGAAGGAGGAAGCCCACAGAGAAAGCGGAGCAUGCCAGUUCAAAUCCACUUCCUUUUAAAGAGCUUCCUCAGCAGCCCAAUAACUUUUGCCUUCAUCUCAUUGGCCAGAACUGUGUCAUUGGCUACUGCUAUCUGCAAGAUUGUCUGAGAAAUGUAGUUUUUGUAGCUGGAUAUAUAACUGCCUUUGACAAAAAUCCAGUUUCUCUUGAUGAGGAAGAAGAUGGUGGUGGAUCUUGGGAGGACAACUAACAUUUUAUGCCCUGGCUACAAAAUACAGUUGCAGAGGAGCAUAAAGUUCAAAAAGAUCAAAACUCUAGUUCCUUCACAACUGUCAAAGCUCCAAGCAGCACUGCUCCCCUCUGACAGAGUGAGCAGAGUGAAGGCAUGUCAGGUGUUCUCACAAAACUCUUGACAGGGCUGACCUCUCUCAGUCAAUAUCCUUGUCUCACAUCAGGAUUUUCUAGAGGGCCCUGGGUACCUGUGCACUUCCUUGGUGGCUAUAACCUCUUUGUGGAGGGUUGGUGUAGGAUAAAGAAUGUUCUAUUACACUGCUCCCUCAUCUGCAUCAUUUCUCUCCUCUCUAAUUUUCCUGUCAGUUAUAUUUUGGUGGAGUCUGGGUUUGUGUAUUUGAUUCCUAUAAAAAGACCAUCGCUUUCAUGCAUGGAGGAGGGGAAUCUACGCAAAGAAAGGCUACCUUACUCCUUUCUGUGACUCCACCACCAGUCUAGGAAUAUCCUGGGAGAAGAAUUGCCUCUCAAAGCUGCUUCUAUAAGCAGCCUACAUCCUAGCUAAGCAAAGAAGAAACACUUCCCACAUCUAGGGCUGUCUAAAAGAACUUUCUGUGAUGACAGAAAUGUUCUAUAUCUGCAGUGUCCAAUAUGGUAACCAUAUAGGCACAUGUGGCUAGUGAACACUUGAAAUGUGGCUAGUGUGACUGAGGAAGGAAAAUUUAAAUUUUGUUUAAUUGUAAUUAAUUUAAAUUCAGAUAGCCAAAUGGGGCUACUAGCUAUUGUGUUAGAUAGCACGGUAUACUUUAUUCUCUUUCUUGUGUUGUAGAACCAGCUGGGAGAGGUGUGGGUCAGUCAUGGGCUUGAUAUCCCCUGGUCUUCACUAUUCUAGCUUGCCAUUGAAUUUGUCUCCCAGAGGAAAAAAAAGAAUGGUAUUUGGAAUUAAAUUCAAGAUGUUAACUUGACAUCUAUAUAUUGCACAUAUUCCUGUAUAGUGAAUGGAUGAUCUCCUGGGAAUAGUUCCUGUGACUGAUUUUAGUGAUAAUUGAUCAUGAAGAAAUGGCAGUACUGCUCCACUUCACCUUCCUAGUGACUAUUAUGUGUUCCUAGUCAGAGUGACUCAGCAGAGAUUAUUUUGUUCUCUUGUGCAAUUUAUUCUGUGUCAUUUUAUUUUUGUAAUAUUGUGGCAGCUAAAUGAUUAUUCUGUGUAUGUUUUUCAAAAUAUUAGGUGGCUUAUAUUUUUUAAAAGGCUAUGAAAUAAAAAUAAACUAUAUGUAACACA